rnacentral:rRNA from 1 species
GACGAACGCUGGCGGCGUGCUUAACACAUGCAAGUCGAACGGAAAGGCCCUGCUUUUGUGGGGUGCUCGAGUGGCGAACGGGUGAGUAACACGUGAGUAACCUGCCCUUGACUUUGGGAUAACUUCAGGAAACUGGGGCUAAUACCGGAUAGGAGCUCCUGCUGCAUGGUGGGGGUUGGAAAGUUUCGGCGGUUGGGGAUGGACUCGCGGCUUAUCAGCUUGUUGGUGGGGUAGUGGCUUACCAAGGCUUUGACGGGUAGCCGGCCUGAGAGGGUGACCGGCCACAUUGGGACUGAGAGACGGCCCAGAGUCCUACGGGAGGCAGCAGUGGGGAAUAUUGCACAAUGGGCGGAAGCCUGAUGCAGCAACGCCGCGGGCGGGAUGACGGCCUUCGGGUUGUAAACCGCUUUCGCCUGUGACGAAGCGUGAGUGACGGUAAUGGGUAAAGAAGCACCGGCUAACUACGUG